ACCUGACGCAGCGACGCCGCUGGGUGAUGAAGGCCUUCGGGUCGUAAAGCCCCUGUCAAGAGGGACGAAACCUCGUCGACCUAACACGUCGGCGACCUGACGGUACCUCUGAAGGAAGCACCGGCUAACUCCGUGCCAGCAGCCGCGGUAAUACGGAGGGUGCAAGCGUUGUUCGGAGUCACUGGGCGUAAAGCGCGUGUAGGCGGCCUCCUCAGUCUGGUGUGAAAGCCCGGGGCUCACCCCCGGAAGUGCAUUGGAUACUGGGAGGCUGGAGUACCGGAGAGGAGGGUGGAAUUCCUGGUGUAGCGGUGAAAUGCGUAGAUAUCAGGAGGAACACCGGUGGCGAAGGCGGCCCUCUGGACGGAUACUGACGCUGAGACGCGACAGCGUGGGGAGCAAACAGGAUUAGAUACCCUGGUAGUCCACGCCGUAAACGAUGGGUACUAGGUGUUCGGGGUAUUGACCCCCUGAGUGCCGCAGCUAACGCAUUAAGUACCCCGCCUGGGGACUACGGCCGCAAGGCUA
rnacentral:rRNA from 1 species